CUUCCGGACCCCGCUGCUUCCUCUCGGCCGGAUUGGGAGUUCGGGAGGCCGUAGGGUCGGCCUACGAGGGCGCUCGCUGGUUUUCCUUUUCUGCGGUCUUCCAGGGCCGUGGCCUGGCUGCCGCGGAAGGUGCCCCGGGGCGGCGGGCUCCGGGUUUCCUCAGUGUGGGGUCGGCGCGGGACUGCAGGUUGGGAGGCGUGGGUUCUGGCCCCGGCGCAGCUGGUUUUCCAAGGUGCUUGAUCUUCCACAAUGGGUGAGCCACAGCAAGUGAGUGCACUUCCUCCACCUCCUAUGCAGUACAUCAAGGAAUACACUGAUGAAAAUAUUCAGGAAGGUCUAGCUCCCAAGCCACCCCCUCCAAUCAAAGACAGUUAUAUGAUGUUUGGCAACCAGUUCCAAUGUGAUGAUCUUAUUAUCCGCCCUUUGGAAAGUCAGGGCAUCGAAAGGCUUCAUCCUAUGCAAUUUGAUCACAAGAAAGAACUGAGGAAACUCAAUAUGUCUAUCCUUAUUAAUUUCUUGGACCUUUUAGAUAUCUUGAUAAGGAGCCCUGGGAGUAUAAAACGAGAAGAGAAGCUGGAAGAUCUUAAGCUGCUUUUUGUCCAUGUGCAUCAUCUCAUAAAUGAAUACAGACCCCACCAAGCAAGAGAGACCUUGAGAGUUAUGAUGGAAGUCCAGAAACGACAGAGGCUUGAAACAGCCGAGAGGUUUCAGAAGCAUCUGGAGCGAGUGAUUGAGAUGAUUCAGAAUUGCUUGGCCUCUUUGCCUGAUGAUUUACCCCACUCAGAAGCAGGAAUAAAAGUAAAAACUGAACCAAUGGAUGCUGAUGAUAGCAACAAUUGUACUGGACAGAGUGAGCAGCAAAGAGAAAAUUCAGGUCAUCGAAGGGACCAGAUUAUAGAAAAAGACGCUGCCUUGUGUGUCCUAAUUGAUGAAAUGAAUGAAAGACCGUGACUCAUGGCUUUGGAAGGCAACUUCAACUCACGUGCUGUGUUGUAGAGAAGAUGCCUGUGCCAGGCUCUGAGCUUCCUGCUUAUGUAUGCCCUGGGAGGAAACUGAUGGCUCAAGUACUUGGGUUCCCGACACUCAUGUGGGAGACCUGGAUUGUAUUCCUGGCCCCUGGCUUCAGUCUUGACCCAACUCUGGAAAUUGUGACCUUUUGAAGAGUGAAUCAAUGGAUGGGAGAUCUUUGCCUUUCAAAUAAAGUGAAAAUAAAAUUUAAAAAUUGCAAUGUGAGCAGGCUACCAGUAAGUGGCACUCUUACCUCAAGUUUAAGGGGCUAUAGCAGUGGAGAGGAUGAAAAUGAAGAAACCUGGAGUUACCUCCUAGGGUACUCAAACUUGUGACACCCUAAUUCUGAGUACUUUGUGUAAAGCAUUAGAUUGAGUCAUUAGAUCCUCAUUGGUACCUGUUGUGUCAGAAUGGGUUGGUGUUGGAAAACAUGUCAGAAUGUUGAAAUUUGGGCUCCACCAGUUAUUAACUGUGUAGCCUUGGUUUGGUGUAUUAUUGAUACACCAAAUUGAUACACCAAUUGAUACUUAAUUUCUUUAGCUUUGGUAAUCACAGUACCCAUGUCUAGUGUAGGUAGCAUCUAAUGUUGAGAAUGAAAGAAGAGACUCCCACUAAUUCUUUCUGAAGCUCUUUUGCCUCCAAGCCACAUGCUCAGGUCUCAAGACUCUCUAAUCACCUUUGCAGGAGGGAGGGACAAAGGAAAAUCAAUAGCAGAAAUUAAGGGAGGGGGUUGCUACUAUAGAUAUUGCAGACAGCAGAAUAAAAGAAUAUUAUAAAUAGCUUUAUCCCAAUAAAUUUGAAAACUUAGACAAAAUAAAUUCUUACAAAAUUACUAAAACUAAUUCAAUAGGAAGCUGAGUAGUUUUCUAACAACUUAGAAAAAAAGAUCAGUACUCAAAUUUUUCUUAUAAUGCAGACCAAACAUUGCCAGAAAACACACACUUAAACAAUUCUAAUCUAUACAAUCUCUCUUACAGAAGAGAAAAACAGUAAACAUUACCCCAUUCCUUUAUGGGGAUUGUGUAAAUUAGCAAGUUAAGUCCGAAAAUAUAAAAAAACUUGAAUGUUUCAUGGUUUAUCUCACAGUGCAGAAUAGAAAAUUAAUGUAUUCUAUCACUAUACUAAAGAAGACAAACAAUUCAACAAAUGUGCAAAAGGCAUUUAUAAAAUUUAGCAUCCACUCAUUAAAAAGAAAAAACUCCUAGAACAUUGAGUAUAGAAGAGAAGGUCCUUAGUAUAAUAAAUUAUUCUAUACAAUUUGUAGCAUGUAUUAUACCCAAAUUGGAAUGUGAAACCUUGCCUUUGAACUCUGGGAAAGAAUGUAUACUAGAGUUUCUAAGCAGCAUAGCACAGGGAGAAAAAUGAGAAGUAUGAAAAGGAAGAAACUAAGUUAUUAGUUGUAGAAAAUAAUUGUCAACAUAGAAAAUUCAAUACAAUCUCUGAUGACUUAUUAGAGUUUAUGGGUUGCUGAGAAAAAAAACCGAAUAUUCAAAAAAUAAAUUUCAGUAUACAGCAGAAACAGAAAAUAAAAAUUUUAAAAUAAGAUACCAUUUGAAAUAGUAUCAGGAAUAUAUAUAGUGCCCAGGAAUAAAUAAAAAAAUGAAGACUUUUUGUGGAGAACAUUUUUAAAUGUUUUUAAGAGAUGAUAAACCUCAAUAGAAAGGAAGACAAAAUGUUUAUGGGUUGAAAUACUUAACAUUGAAAGAGGUCAGAUUUUGUCCAGACUAAUCUAUGGAUUCAACAUAAUCUAAUCAUUUCUGCCAAGUUGUUUUUUUAAUUUGAUAAGAUGAUUCCAAAAUUGUUGGAGUUACAAAGAACCUACACAGAUAACCUCAAAAAAGGACAGAGGGGAAGGAUUUUCCCUACAUGACAUCAACCUCUAUUAUAAUGCUGCUGUGAUUAAGACAGUGAGCACGUUUAGAGAAUUUGAGUAGAAUAGAAGGACAGGAAUCAGAUCCAUGCUUAGAUGAUUUUUGAAAUACAACAGAGAUGAUGUUACACGGUAGUGGGGAAAUGCUGGGAUUUUCUAGGAGAGGACAUCGAGCCUAGUAGUUAGGAAACUGGCAUCCUACACUGGAGUGCCUGAAUUCUGUUCCAACUCUGGCUCCUGGUUCCAGCAUUCUUGCUAAUAUAGACCCUGGGAGGCAGUGGUGAUGUCUCAUGUAACUGGAAUACUCCUUGCCUCAGCCCCAGCCCUGGCCAUUGCAAGCAUUUGAGGAAUGAACCAGGAGAUUCUCUCUGUCUCUCUCUGACUCUCAAAUGAAAAUACAAUAAAUGCUGGAACUUUCAACGAAAGGGGCUAGGAUACAACAUGAGAAGUCCAUUUCAGGAGGAUUAAAACCUAACUGAAAGAUAGAAGUACGAAGCUUUUCAGGCUAAUGUGGGUAAUAAUUUCACAAUCCUUGAAUAAGAGAAAAUUUUCUUAGGUAAAAUACAAAAUGCACUACUUAGAAAAGAUUGGUCAAUUUCACUACAUUGAAAUCAAGAAACUGUGUUCAAGAAAACAUUCCAUAAACAAAGUGAAAAGCAAAAGUGUGAGAGGAACUAUUUGCAACAGAUGAAACCAGCAGGGUAGUAUAACCCAGGAUACAUAAUUAUUUGUAUAAAUCAAUAAGAAAAAUAUCAACCCAGCCAAAAAAAAAAAAAAAUAGGCCAAGAAAUUAAACAAGCAUUUACCCAAGGAAAAAAAAAAAUUCUAGGGGCUGGCAUUGUGGUAUACUGGGUAAAGCCAUUGCCUGUGAUGCCAGCAUCCCAUGUAGGCACAGGUUUGAGUCCUGCCUGCUCCUCUUCUGAUCCAACUUCCUGCUAGUGCACCUGGAAAACCAGCAGAGAAUGUCCCAAGUGCGUGGGCCUGUACAUCCACAUGGGAGACCCAGCCCUGGCUGUUGCUGCCAUUUGGGAAGUGAACCAGUGAAUGGGAGAUCUCUCUCUGUAUCUCCCUUUCUCUCUCUGUAACUCUGCCUUUCUGAUAAAUAAUAAAAUAAACCUUUAAAAAAAAUCCAAAUGAUUCAUAAACAAAAAGUGCUUAGCCUGUUAUAACCAGGGCAAUGCAAAUUAAAGUCAGAGUGAGAUGCUACCAUAUCUUUACCACUUUAGCAAAAAUGAACUGCAAAAAAUGAAACAGUUAACAAAGUCAUCUCUGGCAACGCCAAGUGUUGAAGAUGUAGAUAAGAAAUUCUUACAUGCUGCUGGUAGGAGUCUAGGAAACUAAUCAGUGUUAUUUAAGAAGGUCCAAGUUAGUUAUACCCUCUGACUCAGUAAUUCUACUCAGAAAUAUAUCCCUGUGAAACUCAUACACAUGUGCUAGGAUCGUCUAUGAGAAAGUCCAGAAUGGCAUUGUUUAUGGUAAUUGAAAUGGAAAAUGACAUGUCCAUUUAGGAUAGACUUAACAAAGAAUUUGAAAUAAAUCUAUUCUCAGGAAAAUUAUUUUAUCAUGUAAAUAAGCAACCUACAGAAACACACUGGAGCGUAGAUAGAUCUCACAAGCUCACUGUCAAGUGCAGCACGUUUUAAUUCAUGCAGUGUGAAAACCAAGCAGACCGGCGCCGCGGCUCAACAGGCUUAUCCUCCACCUAGUGGCGCCAGCACACCAGGUUCUAGUCCCGGUUGGGGCGCCGGAUUCUGUCCCGGUUGCUCCUCUUCCAGGCCAGCUCUCUGCUAUGGCCAGGGAGUGCAGUGGAGGAUGGCCCGGGUCCUUGGGCCCUGCACCCCAUGGGAGACCAGGAGAAGCACCUGGCUCCUGCCAUCGGAUCAGCGUGGUGGAGGGUGAACCAACGGCAAUGGAAGACCUUUCUCUCUGUCUCUCUCUCUCUCUCUCUCACUGUCCACUCUAUCUGUCAAAAAUAAAUUAAUUAAAACCAAGCAGAACUUUAGAUACAAUUUUGAGAAGUAAACAUGGAUGAUGAAAUUAUACUCUAUAGAUGAACUUACAUCUGUCUUUUAUUAUUAAUGCUGUAUAACAAAUGCCUGUAGGACAAGGGGAAGGGAGACUGUGUGAUUAGCAAGAGGUACCCAUUCUUGGGGUGGAGUUGUCAGCACAACUUUAGGAAGCUGGCAUCGUUUUAUGUUUUGUUUGAGGACUGAUUACUUGAGAGUUUGUUUCAAAAGUAUAUGUAAGCUCUAAAUUUAUGUUACUGUGAUGUUUGGUAUGUCUUGUAUUUCUAUUAAAAGUUUAACCUUAAUGCUA